CCUGAUGCAGCGACGCCGCGUGAGGGAUGACGGCCUUCGGGUUGUAAACCUCUUUCAGCAGGGACGAAGCGCAAGUGACGGUACCUGUAGAAGAAGGACCGGCCAACUACGUGCCAGCAGCCGCGGUAAUACGUAGGGUCCGAGCGUUGUCCGGAAUUACUGGGCGUAAAGAGCUCGUAGGUGGUUUGUCGCGUUGUUCGUGAAAACUCACAGCUUAACUGUGGGCGUGCGGGCGAUACGGGCAGACUUGAGUACUGCAGGGGAGACUGGAAUUCCUGGUGUAGCGGUGGAAUGCGCAGAUAUCAGGAGGAACACCGGUGGCGAAGGCGGGUCUCUGGGCAGUAACUGACGCUGAGGAGCGAAAGCGUGGGGAGCGAACAGGAUUAGAUACCCUGGUAGUCCACGCCGUAAACGGUGGGUACUAGGUGUGGGUUUCCUUCCUUGGGAUCCGUGCCGUAGCUAACGCAUUAAGUACCCCGCCUGGGGAGUACGGCCGCAAGGCUAAAACUCAAAGAAAUUGACGGGGGCCCGCACAAGCGGCGGAGCAUGUGGAUUAAUUCGAUGCAACGCGAAGAACCUUACCUGGGUUUGACAUGCACAGGACGUGCCUAGAGAUAGGUAUUCCCUUGUGGC
rnacentral:rRNA from 1 species